rnacentral:tRNA from 1 species
CGUCGAGUAGCUCAGUUGGUAGAGCAACGGACCGAUAAUCCGCAGGUCACAUGUUCGAAUCAUGUCUCGACGA